rnacentral:rRNA from 1 species
GACGAACGCUGGCGGCGUGCUUAACACAUGCAAGUCGAACGGAAAUGCCUUUUCGGAGGUACUCGAUUGGCGCACGGGUGCGUAACACGUGGGUGAUCUGCCCUGCACUCUGGGAUAAGCCUGGGAAACUGGGUCUAAUACCGGCUAGUACCGCACUUUCGUGUGUGUGUUUGAAAGUUUUUUCGGUAUAGGAUGAGCCCGCGGCCUAUCAGCUUGUUGGUGGGGUAAUGGCCUACCAAUGCGGCGUCAGGUAGCCGGACUGAGAGGGUGGUCGGCCACACUGGGACUGAGGGAAGGCCCAGAUUGCGAAGGGACGCAGAAGGGGGGAAGAUUGCACAAUGGGCGCAAGGAGGAUGCAGCGACGUCGCGGGGGGGAUGACGGCGUUCGGGUUGGAAACUAAGUACGCCAGGGACGAAGCGUUGUGUGACGGUAUCUGGAGAAGAAGCAACGGCUAACUACGUG